GACGAACUGUUCUAACGUUAUUCGGAAUCACUGGGCUUAAAGGGCGCGUAGGCUGUUUGUUAAGCGGGGUCUGAAAUCCCUCGGCUCAACCGAGGAACUGGGCUUCGAACUGGCAGACUAGAGUGAAGUAGGGGUAAGCGGAACUUGCGGUGGAGCGGUGAAAUGCUUUGAUAUCGCAAGGAACACCGGCGGCGAAGGCGGCUUACUGGGCUUCAACUGACGCUUAAGCGCGAAAGCUAGGGUAGCGAACGGGAUUAGAUACCCGUGAGUCCCUGAGCGGGCUGG
rnacentral:rRNA from 1 species